rnacentral:rRNA from 1 species
GAGACAGCAGCCGCCGCGAUAAUACAGAGGGUGCGAGCGUUAAUCGGAUUUACUGGGCGUAAAGCGUGCGUAGGCGGCUUCUUAAGUCGGAUGUGAAAUCCCUGAGCUUAACUUAGGAAUUGCAUUCGAUACUGGGAAGCUAGAGUAUGGGAGAGGAUGGUAGAAUUCCAGGUGUAGCGGUGAAAUGCGUAGAGAUCUGGAGGAAUACCGAUGGCGAAGGCAGCCAUCUGGCCUAAUACUGACGCUGAGGUACGAAAGCAUGGGGAGCAAACAGGAUUAGAUACCCCAGUAGUCCCUGUCUCUUAUAA